rnacentral:rRNA from 1 species
UACGUAGGCAGCAAGCGUUGUUCGGAAUUACUGGGCGUAAAGAGUGUGUAGGCGGUGUUCUAAGUUUGGUGUGAAAUCUCCCGGCUCAACUGGGAGGGUGCGCCGAAAACUGGAAUGCUAGAGUAUGGGAGAGGUAAGCGGAAUUCCUGGUGUAGCGGUGAAAUGCGUAGAUAUCAGGAGGAACACCUGUGGCGAAGGCGGCUAUCUGGGCUGGAACUGACGCUGAGGCGCGAAGGCUAGGGGAGCAAACAGG